UACAGAGGUCUCAAGCGUUGUUCGGAUUCAUUGGGCGUAAAGGGUGUGUAGGUGGCGCCGUAAGUCGGGUGUGAAAUUUCGGAGCUUAACUCCGAAACUGCAUUCGAUACUGCGGUGCUUGAGGACUGGAGAGGAGACUGGAAUCCAUGGUGUAGCAGUGAAAUGCGUAGAGAUCAUGAGGAAGACCAGUGGCGAAGGCGGGUCUCUGGACAGUUCCUGACACUGAGACACGAAGGCCAGGGGAGCAAACGGG
rnacentral:rRNA from 1 species